GCCACCGUAGCGCAGAGAUUAGCAUGUCCGACUAUGACGCUGAACGCCUAGGUUCGAACCCUGGCGGUGGUU
rfam:Stomoxys calcitrans breed 8C7A2A5H3J4 unplaced genomic scaffold Scaffold269, whole genome shotgun sequence.